GACGAACGCUGGCGGCGUGCUUAACACAUGCAAGUCGAACGGUAAGGCCCUUCGGGGUACACGAGUGGCGAACGGGUGAGUAACACGUGGGUGAUCUGCCCUGCACUUCGGGAUAAGCCUGGGAAACUGGGUCUAAUACCGGAUAGGACCACUGCCUGCAUGGGUGGUGGUGGAAAGCUUUUGCGGUGUGGGAUGGGCCCGCGGCCUAUCAGCUUGUUGGUGGGGUGAUGGCCUACCAAGGCGACGACGGGUAGCCGGCCUGAGAGGGUGACCGGCCACAGUGGGACAGGGAUCGGGCCCAGACCACUGCGGGGGGCAGAAGGGGGGAAUAUUGCACAAGGGGCGCAAGCCUGAGGCGGCGCCGCCGCGUGGGGGAGGACGGCCUUCGGGUUGUAAACCUCUUUAAGCACCGACGAAGCGCAAGUGACGGUAGGUGCAGAAGAAGGCCCGGCAAACUACGGGCAAGCAGCCGCAGUAA
rnacentral:rRNA from 1 species